rnacentral:rRNA from 1 species
AGAGUUUGAUCCUGGCUCAGAUUGAACGCUGGCGGCAGGCUUAACACAUGCAAGUCGAGCGGUAACAGGGAUAGCUUGCUAUCUGCUGACGAGCGGCGGACGGGUGAGUAAUGCUUGGGAAUAUGCCUUAUGGUGGGGGACAACAGUUGGAAACGACUGCUAAUACCGCAUAACGUCUACGGACCAAAGGGGGGGAUCUUCGGACCUCUCGCCAUUUGAUUAGCCCAAGUGAGAUUAGCUAGUUGGUAAGGUAAUGGCUUACCAAGGCGACGAUCUCUAGCUGGUUUGAGAGGAUGAUCAGCCACACUGGGACUGAGACACGGCCCAGACUCCUACGGGAGGCAGCAGUGGGGAAUAUUGCACAAUGGGCGAAAGCCUGAUGCAGCCAUGCCGCGUGUGUGAAGAAGGCCUUCGGGUUGUAAAGCACUUUCAGUUGUGAGGAAAGGGAUGUAGUUAAUAGCUGCAUUCUGUGACGUAACAACAGAAGAAGCACCGCUAACUU